CUGCCCUGCCAGACGACUUGUGCCUCGAGUAAAGUAGAGACGGAAAAAAGAGGGUGACAGGACAACUGAAUCUGGAUUCCUGGAGAGUUUCAAGGUCGACAAGUUUUGCAGAUUCUGUCUAGCAAGCAGCAAAGACACACAGCAGCAAGAGAUGGCUCUGCAAGAGAAAUUCAUCAUGAGGGUUAUUGUCUCAGAGGGAGACAUCAGAAAAUUGACAAUGACAACACGACCGGACACACUUGAAGAUUUGAUUGGCUGGCUUAAAGGCACUCUCCAAGCAAAUUACAACUUUGUCCUGCAGUACCA